rnacentral:rRNA from 1 species
AAUAUUGCACAAUGGAGGAAACUCUGAUGCAGCGACGCCUCGUGAGGGAAGCAGGUCUUCGGAUUGUAAACCCCUGUCUUUGGGGCAGAUAAUGACGGUACCCAAGGAGGAAGCCACGGCCAAAUACGUGCCAGCAGCCGCGGUAAUACGAAGGUAGCAAUCGUUUUCCGGAAUUACUGGGUGUAAAGGGAGCGUACGCGGGUACGCAAGUUGAAUGUUUAACCUAUCGGCUCAACCAUUAGUCGCGUUCAAAAAUGCGUAUCUUGAGUGAAGUAGAGGCAGGCGGAAUUCCUAGUGUAGCGGUGAAAUGCGUAGAUAUUAGGAGGAACACCAGUGGCGAAGGCGGCCUGCUGGGCUUUUACUGACGCUGAGGCUCGAAAGCAUGGGGAGCAAACA